UUCCGGUUGAUCCUGCCGGACCUGACUGCUAUCGGAUUGAUACUAAGCCAUGCGAGUCAUUGUAGCAAUACAAGGCAGACGGCUCAGUAACGCGUAGUCAACCUAACCUAUGGACGGGAAUAACCUCGGGAAACUGAGAAUAAUGCCCGAUAGAACACUAUGCCUGGAAUGGUUUGUGUUCCAAAUGAUUUAUCGCCGUAGGAUGGGACUGCGGCCUAUCAGUUUGUUGGUGAGGUAAUGGCCCACCAAGACUAUUACAGGUACGGGCUCUGAGAGGAGUAGCCCGGAGAUGGGUACUGAGACACGGACCCAGGCCCUAUGGGGCGCAGCAGGCGAGAAAACUUUGCAAUGUGCGAAAGCACGACAAGGUUAAUCCGAGUGAUUUGUGCUAAACGAAUCUUUUGUUAGUCCUAGAAACACUAACGAAUAAGGGGUGGGCAAGUUCUGGUGUCAGCCGCCGCGGUAAAACCAGCACCUCAAGUGGUCAGGAUGAUUAUUGGGCCUAAAGCAUCCGUAGCCGGCUCUGUAAGUUUUCGGUUAAAUCUGUACGCUUAACGUACAGGCUGCCGGGAAUACUGCAGAGCUAGGGAGUGGGAGAGGUAGACGGUACUCGGUAGGAAGGGGUAAAAUCCUUUGAUCUAUUGAUGACCACCUGUGGCGAAGGCGGUCUACCAGAACACGUCCGACGGUGAGGGAUGAAAGCUGGGGGAGCAAACCGGAUUAGAUACCCGGGUAGUCCCAGCUGUAAACUAUGCAAACUCAGUGAUGCAUUGACUUGUGGUCAAUGCAGUGCUGCAGGGAAGCCGUUAAGUUUGCCGCCUGGGAAGUACGUACGCAAGUAUGAAACUUAAAGGAAUUGGCGGGGGAGCACCACAAGGGUGAAGCCUGCGGUUCAAUUGGAGUCAACGCCGGAA
rnacentral:rRNA from 1 species